GGGAGAGCGGCCAGUUUGUGCUGUGGGUGAUCUCAUUAGAAUGGAGGAGCAGCUGUCCCUCCCAUCCUUGCAGCCAGCCUGCCAGGUAGAACGUGCCUGAGCGGGAGCUCCAUCACAGCAGGCCGGCGGCCUACCCUGGCAGACACCCACCUGCCUGCUGCCUGCUUCCCACCAGCCACAUUCRCUUCCUCUUGAAAGCCCAUCCGGAACUUUCCGCACAGCCUAGGACCUGCCAGCAGGAAGCUGGAGAGGAGGGUUGCUCACCUUUCUUGGCUCUUUCUCUUUCUAAUCUGCAAGAGGAGUUGGYGUAAGGCAGUCGGACCGAUCACCUACCUCCCACUUGUCACGCAGAAUACCGAGGAUCAGGACUGAACAAGGUGGAGGAUUCCCACUGCUCACCAAGGGCACCCUUAAGUGGAACCAACUUGUUUUCUUUUUAUUUAAGGGGGAGUUUUUGGUGAAAUUGCCUUGAUUUGUGUGGAGGCACCAAUGUUAAAACACAAAUGACAUUGUACAAAUUUCCACUUGGUGAAAAGCAAAACAAAACAAAACAAAUGCCAUUGCUGUAGGCCUACCACCGUAGACUUACUGGUAAGUCAGGUCUGGGAGGAGGGAAAGAAGAGUGAAAGAUGCUCAGGCCUGGCCUGAGCACCACAGAGGUGGGGCCUCCUUCCUGUGAUGGGAAAGAUCGAUUCAGACUUUCAGCUUGGGAAGGUUGAGUCUAAGAUAGCUACAUAUGCUGGGUGCAGCUCAGGAGGCUGAGGCCAGAGGACAGCAAGUUCAASGCCAAGUUCAAGGCCAAGUUCAAGGCCAAGACAGCAAGUUCAAGCAGGUCAGCCAGAUCCUGUCUCAAAAUAAAAAAUAAAAAGGGCCAGGGUUGUGGCUGAGUGGUAACUCCAGGGGGUUUGAUCCCCAGUACCAAUAUAAAUAAAUUAAUUAAAUUAAAAAAGAAAAGAAAAAGCACAAGGAAACACUCCAACCCUGGUACAGGCAAUGCUUUUUGGAUUUGCUCUCAAAGCACAGGA